GACGAACGCUGGCGGCGUGCCUAAUACAUGCAAGUGGAGCGAUGAAGAUUGGUGCUUGCACCAAUUUGAAGAGCAGCGAACGGGUGAGUAACGCGUGGGGAAUCUGCCUUUGAGCGGGGGACAACAUUGGGAAACGAAUGCUAAUACCGCAUAACAACUUUAAACAUAAGUUUUAAGUUUGAAAGAUGCAAUUGCAUCACUCAAAGAUGAUCCCGCGUUGUAUUAGCUAGUUGGUGAGGUAAAGGCUCACCAAGGCGAUGAUACAUAGCCGACCUGAGAGGGUGAUCGGCCACAUUGGGACUGCGACACGGCCCAAACUCCUACGGGAGGCAGCAGUAGGGAAUCUUCGGCAAUGGACGAAAGUCUGACCGAGCAACGCCGCGUGAGUGAAGAAGGGUUUCGGAUCGUAAAACUCUGUUGGUAGAGAAGAACGUUGGUGAGAGUGGAAAGCUCAUCAAGUGACGGUAACUACCCAGAAAGGGGCGGCUAACUACGUG
rnacentral:rRNA from 1 species